rnacentral:rRNA from 1 species
GACGAACGCUGGCGGCGUGCUUAACACAUGCAAGUCGAACGGUGACGAGGAGCUUGCUCCUCUGAUCAGUGGCGAACGGGUGAGUAACACGUGAGCAACCUGCCCCAAAGCGGGGGAUAGCCCACCGAAAGGUGGAUUAAUACCGCAUGUGGCCGUUCCGGGGCAUCCCGGGACGAUUAAAGCAGCAAUGCGCUUUGGGAUGGGCUCGCGGCCUAUCAGCUUGUUGGUGGGGUAACGGCCUACCAAGGCUACGACGGGUAGCUGGUCUGAGAGGAUGGUCAGCCGGAUUGGGACUGAGACACGGCCCAGACUCCUACGGGGGGCAGCAAUUAGGAAUCUUGCGCAAUGGGCGAAAGCCUGACGCAGCGACGCCGCGUGACCGACGAAGUCCUUCGGGAUGUAAAGGUCUUUUGCCAGGGAAGAAGAUCUGACGGUACCUGGCGAAUAAGCCCCGGCUAACUACGUG